UUAUAGUAUAUUUUACUGGAAUAAUCAAUUCCUGCUUUUUACCAGGUGUGUUUAUUUUCCUCAGUCUCAGUGAGAGAACAGUGACCCAAAACAUCUGGAUGUGAACAAUUGUUUUCCUAAACAGUUCUCCUGUGAGCCUUUACGGUGUGAUCAGAGCUUUACCACAACCAGUUGGAGUUGACAGUCUCCAAAGCAGGAUGUGAUUUUUGCCUGGUGUGUGAAGUUUAUCCAACAUCCCUGCCUGGUGUUCCAUCCAGCUGCUCCUCCUGACCCAAAGGUGCUGCUGCAUCCAGAGGCACAGGAAUAUUUUUCAAGUGUUCCGAAAGUUUAGGAAGUGUGUGGAUAUGCCAUAAAU
rnacentral:lncRNA from 1 species